AGAGUUUGAUCAUGGCUCAGGAUGAACGCUAGCGACAGGCCUAACACAUGCAAGUCGAGGGGCAUCGGGACGUAGCAAUACGUUGCCGGCGACCGGCGGAUGGGUGAGUAACGCGUAUGCAACCUACCCGUAGCAGGGGGAUAGCCCGUUGAAAGACGGAUUAAUACCCCGUAACACAGGGGCUCCGCAUGGAGAUUAUUGUUAAAGGGUCAUUUCUUUUUCAGGGAUGGUCCGGCUGCGGAUGGGCAUGCGUUCCAUUAGGUAGUUGGUGUAGGUAACUGCUCACCAAGCCGACGAUGGAUAGGGGAACUGAGAGGUUGGUCCCCCACACUGGUACUGAGACACGGACCAGACUCCUACGGGAGGCAGCAGUGAGGAAUUUUGGUCAAUGGACGCAAGUCUGAACCAGCCAUGUCGCGUGAAGGAGGACGGCCCUAAGGGUUGUAAACUUCUUUUGCAGUGGAAUAAAGUUUGCCACGUGUUGGCGAUUUGCAAGUACGCUGCGAAUAAGGAUCGGCUAACUCCGUGCCAGCAGCCGCGGUAAUACGGAGGAUCCAGGCGUUAUCCGGAUUUAUUGGGUUUAAAGGGUGCGCAGGCGGGGAAUUAGGUCGGCGGUGAAAUUUCGGGGCUCAACCUCGACAGUGCCGUUGAAACCGUUUCUCUUGAGUGCGGAUGAGGUAGGCGGAAUUUGUAGUGUAGCGGUGAAAUGCGUAGAUAUCACAAGGAACACCGAUUGCGGAGGCAGCUUACUAAACCGUUACUGACGCUCAUGCACGAAGGCGUGGGGAUCAAACAGGAUUAGAUACCCUGNAGUCCACGCAGUGAACGAUGAUUACUUGCUGUUUGCGAUACACAGUAAGCGGCGUAGCGAAAGCGUUAGUAAUCCACCUGGG
rnacentral:rRNA from 1 species